rnacentral:rRNA from 1 species
AAAGCGGGAGUGACUUAGCGGCGGACGGGUGAGUAACGCGUGGGUAACCUGCCCCAUACCGGGGGAUAACGGUUAGAAAUGACCGCUAAUACCGCUUAAGCGCGCGAGGCCGCAUGGCCGUGCGCGAAAAACUCCGGUGGUAUGGGAUGGGCCCGCGUCUGAUUAGGUAGUUGGCGGGGUAAGGGCCCACCAAGCCGACGAUCAGUAGCCGACCUGAGAGGGUGGCCGGCCACAUUGGGACUGAGACACGGCCCAAACUCCUACGGAAGGCAGCAG